AAUCCAGACGACAGGUUGGAAGGCCUUGUCUUCAAAUUUGAAGAUUGGCACGCCAUAAAAAACCUUUUUGAGAUCUAUCAUCGGAUCUUUUACAAAGAGGGCUCGGCGGGGGAACAUGGGACACUCCAGGCCAAUAUGAAUAAGCUGAGAUGCAGCAAUGCGAAACGUGGACCACAUGCUGCUUUCAAUGCAUGCAAAGAGUUUGUGAAAAAGGAC